ACAAAUCUGAAGACGAGAAAGAGUAAAAUAGUGAGCUGUUCUCCAGAGAGCCGGUAUAUUGCUGAAAGCCGGUGUGCAGACGUUAUUUGAAAAUCAUCUCCGAGGAGCCGAGGCUGAAAGUAAGUAAGCCCGGACGGAUGUCUACCGUUACAAAGAACACGUAUGAUAGUACGUUGCUAAGUGCUAUUAGUGAAAAAGCUAAUAGAAUUAGGGUGGUAUCGCGGGUAAACCCGUCCCUACU
rfam:Bacillus cereus ATCC 14579, complete genome.